rnacentral:lncRNA from 1 species
UAUAUUAUAUAUUUCUUUAUAAACUUCGUUAAAAAAUUUAAAUAGGAAUAUUUGUAUUCUCUUAAACUUAACAAUGUGUUGCGCCUUUUUACUAGAAAAGCGUUCCUACUAUUUCUGUACAGGGUGAGUGUAAUAAUUGGACCGAACUAUAACUUUGUUGCUAUUACAGGUAAAAAGAAUUUGUAGAGGAGAAUUUUACGUUUUUUAUCAAGAUUUAUUACAAUCUAUCAUUGUAUAGCGCGAUUCUUUUCAGAAAUGCGCAGGUUGCAACAUAUAAUUGCGAAAUAAAAUUGUACUUUUUUAAAAAUGGAGUUCUAUGAUUCUUUUUACAUUAAUUGAUUCCUCAUGCUAUUCUAAACAAAAAAGUAUUAGGGUACAACGUCAUGAAAAUUAAUAUUUCGUGAAAUAUUUCAAAUGUUACACAAUAUACUUUGACGUUGAGGCGUAGCGUUACUGUUAUGUUUACUAAAGUCUAGUCCAUAGUCCAUAUUACGAUUAUAUAAAUACGUGUCGACAUUCGCUAGGGAAAACUAUCUAAAAAUUGAGUUGUGAAAAGUCUACACGGAAGACAACAAAGUUCUCGUUCUUGCAAGAUAAAUAUACAUGAAUAGUGUAUCUCUAUCCUUGUCUCAGACAUUCAUUUCGGCAUACCACGCGUCUACAGAAUGAGAACUUUCUUGUCUUCCAUGUUGAUUUUUCACGAUUCAAUUUUCGGACAGUUUUGUUUUGAGUGCCGAAACUAUUCAGGAUUCAAGAUCUAUUUAUAUGAAAACGGUUCAUACUAUGAGGAAAGGACUUUUCUGAUGCUGCUAAUUAUGCACCGUGCUACUGACAGUAUUGACAAAAUGGUUAUGAUACUGACAAACAAUAUCUAGAAUUAUAUCAAAUCACGUCAACGUACAAUUGCGUCGUAAUAAGUUUUACAAGUAACGAGAAAGUGGAUAUGUUUUCAAGUGCGAUUAUAAUUUAAAUGUUGUAACAGAAAUGUAUCGCUGUGAAUAUACUCUAGAAAAAUACAGAAAAAUUUAAUAAAGUAUGGUUCAUUCGAGUAAAGAAAGAAAAGUUAUACAAAGCUAGUUGUACAAAAUUAGCAAAACAUGAAAAUUAGUAGCAGAAUUGCAUAUCAGUCAAAGUUCGGGAAACCGAAUUUUAUAGUUGCAAUUAAUUUCUUCACUAUCAUUAGUCUAUACAGAAUACUUUACAUGUUGGAGAUAAGUUUUGUAGAAUAUAGUUCUGUUGAUUCUUUUUUAGCAAAGUUAUGUCUACAAAAAGAUUUAGACAUUAUUGAUAAAUUAAAAAUUGUAUAUUUUAUUCACAUCUUUGGUUUGCUACUUAUAAAUAUCUAAAUCACAAUAUAUUAAAAAUAAUAUAGUAAUAUGAACAUUAUAAUACUAUGUAAUAUAUUACUACAUUAUGUACAAUAAAUGUAGAUGAUAUACAUA